CACUUAACGCCUGAAAGCUUGACUCAACCUGUGCAUCGUCAAGGUGAGCAAAGUUUCAGGUGUGUCAGUGG
rnacentral:pre_miRNA from 1 species